rnacentral:rRNA from 1 species
UGGGGAAUAUUGGACAAUGGGCGAAAGCCUGAUCCAGCCAUGCCGCGUGUGUGAAGAAGGUCUUCGGAUUGUAAAGCACUUUAAGUUGGGAGGAAGGGCCAUUACCUAAUACGUGAUGGUUUUGACGUUACCGACAGAAUAAGCACCGGCUAACUCUGUGCCAGCAGCCGCGGUAAUACAGAGGGUGCAAGCGUUAAUCGGAAUUACUGGGCGUAAAGCGCGCGUAGGUGGUUUGUUAAGUUGGAUGUGAAAUCCCCGGGCUCAACCUGGGAACUGCAUUCAAAACUGACUGACUAGAGUAUGGUAGAGGGUGGUGGAAUUUCCUGUGUAGCGGUGAAAUGCGUAGAUAUAGGAAGGAACACCAGUGGCGAAGGCGACCACCUGGACUGAUACUGACACUGAGGUGCGAAAGCGUGGGGAGCAAACAGGAUUAGAUACCCAGGUAGUCCCUGAGCGGGCUGGCAAGGCGCAU